rnacentral:lncRNA from 1 species
UUCGUUUUUACUUUAAGUAGGUUAUAAAAUCAAUCAUCCAAAUUUCUACUUUACAAUCAUUAAUUAAAAUCUGAUUUGUUUCGAAUUAUUUAAUAAUCCCUGUGGAGAAUGACCUUGCGAGAUCCGUUUAUACUACAAUAACCUUGUGAUUCUUGCAAGUAAAAUAGAAGGUUUUUAUCGCAUUCACAUGAGUAGUAAAUAUCCCUAUCAUCUCUUACAUUUUAUUGAAAAAAAAAUAAAAUGAAAAAUGAAAGUUAUCGAUUUUCUAUUUGAGUGAGAGUUGCGACCUAGGUGGGUGCCUAGACGGAGCUAUGUGACGACCCGUCCCUAAUUCUAUGUUUUUACAAAUUUUAAAAGCAUAAUUUUAUAAAAAGGGCCUUAGAGGCGAGGAUAUUGACUUUUGUGGACCAACGUUUAGUGAGACGUACGAAAUAUUUCUAUAGCGAUCCAAGGUGGGUAUAUUACUAUUUUAUAUCUUCUUUAUAUCUUUGCAUUCAAACUAUAUUAUAAUAUAAGGUUAUUUGAGAGUAAGGAAAAAAGAAAAAAUUAAGAAGGGAAAGUUGCCUGAUGGCAAUGAAGGAGAGGAGAGGAAGAG